rnacentral:rRNA from 1 species
CCUACGGGUGGCAGCAGUGGGGAAUAUUGGGCAAUGGACGCGAGUCUGACCCAGCAACGCCGCGUGAAGGCAGAAGGCUUUCUGGGUGUAAACUUCUUUUUAUAUGGAAGUGCAGAAGUCGGUACCUCUUGAAUAAUCCAUGGCGAAUUACUUGCCAGCAGCCGCGGUAAUACGGAGGUGGCAAGCGUUUUCCGGAUUUACUGGGUGUAAAGGGAGUGAAGGAGGGAAGGCAAGUCAGAUGUGAAAUCCCGCGGCUCAACCGCGGAAUUGCAUUUGAAACUGUUUUUCUUGAGUACAGGAGAGGUCAUCGGAAUUCGUGGUGUAGCGGUGAAAUGCGUAGAUAUAAGGAAGAACACCAGUGGCGAAGGCAGAUGACUGGACGGCAACUGACAGUGAGGCGCGAAAGCGUGGGUAGCAAACAGGAUUAGAUACCCCUGUAGUC